AGGACGAACGCUGGCGGCGUGCCUAACACAUGCAAGUCGAACGGGGGUAGCAAUACCCCAGUGGCGAACGGGUGCGUAACACGUGAAGAACUUGUCCAUCGGCGGGGGAUAGCCGGCCCAACGGCCGGGUAAUACCGCGUACGCCGUCUGAAGCGCAUGCUUCGGCCGGGAAAGCAGCAAUGCACCGAUGGAGAGCUUCGCGGCCUAUCAGCUAGUUGGCGGGGUAAUGGCCCACCAAGGCGACGACGGGUAGCUGGUCUGAGAGGAUGACCAGCCACAUUGGGACUGAGACACGGCCCAGACUCCUACGGGAGGCAGCAGUGGGGAAUAUUGCGCAAUGGGGGAAACCCUGACGCAGCGACGCCGCGUGUGGGAUGACGGCCUUCGGGUUGUAACCACUGUCGCGAGGGACGAAAAAAUGACGGUACCUCGAAGGAAGCACCGGCUAACUCUGUGCCAGCAGCCGC
rnacentral:rRNA from 1 species